rnacentral:lncRNA from 1 species
UUUUUUAGGAUCAUGAAUACUUAAUUUUGUAUAAUCUUGACCUUGACCAUUUCAUGGUUCUUUGGUCGUCAAUUUUAUGGUUUGGUGCUUAGUUCUGUUUCACAUACAUUUUAUACUAUAAACAAUGAGUCAAAUUAUAUUUGGUGUAAUAAAUGUGGAUUAAGUUGAACAUGUACAUUUGGGAACUUUAUUUAACAUUGACCUCAUUUUCAUGGUUCUUAUGUCAACAUUAAGUUUUCACUAUUAUGUCUGUUUCUCAGACACCAUAGGUGAACUUGAUUUGAUAUAAUAUUUGGAUAAUUGGUGAUGUAAAAUUUAUGUGAUAUCUAUAGUGAAACCAAUUAUUGUAAAGAAUAUAAAUUCAAUUCUGAUCUGUUAAGCAUGCAAGACAAUUUAGCAUGUGUACAAUUUAUAUACGAAACAUGAAAUCCAAAAUAGAAUAUUUUUUCAAAAGACAAGUGUUAUCAAUCAUUUCAAAUUAAUAACAAAUUGUGUAAUUUUACAUUUGAUAUAUAUGUAAGGUCUCAGGAGUUAUUUAUAGAGUUGCUCAAAUAUUUUUUUUGUCUAAGUGCCUUAAAUGAAAUCAAACAGUUUUUGUAUUGGAAGAAAUUAAAUGUUUCUAAUAUCUUAGUUCACAAUUUUUAUUUUGUCAACAAGAGAGCUCCUUGUUUUGUUUCCAACCCAGGACUUGGUUUCACAAAAAAUCUUACGACUAAAAUUUAUUUUAAGUAUACUGAAUUGUUCAUAACUUAAGAUCUAUCUUAAUCGUAAGACUUUUUGUGAAAACCAACCUCAGAUUUUUGAAAUUUCACAAAGAGUUUUUAAUCCCUCAAAAAUUUUAGUCCAACCCAGUUGAAUGAGUAUUGGAUAGAUUUUUAGAACUAUCAAAAUACAAAUACAAACAAAUAUGGAUGUUUCAUGUGAAUAAAAGGAGAUGUAGAUUAAGUGAAACUGAAACCAAAAGUUCAAACUUAAAACAAAUCUGCAAAGGGAAGAAUGCAAUUGAAUUAUUUUAUUUUGGAUAGUGACCUAAGCUAAAUCACUGCUUAGAAUGCUAAUUAUACAAUCACAAAUUAUCACACUUUUUAUAAUGUAUUGUUAUUGUUACUUAGUGUAUAUGAUUUUUUUUUGUUAUCUAUACAGUAUAUCCAACUUUAUCAAUAAAUAUAAUGAUAGGAA